rnacentral:rRNA from 1 species
UCCUAGCACAUGCAAUUCGAGCGUUAAAACGGGGCCACCCAGCAGUAGAGUGGGGGACCGGUCACCUUGUACAUCUGAACGUUUCCAGUAAAGGGGGAUAACCCAACCAAAGUGGCGCUAAUACCGGAUGUAAUCUGUAGAUAAUACCGGGGGAUCCACCAGUCAAAGCUUUUGGAAAACUCCCGUCGGCUUGCAGAGUCCAUAAGUGUGUAGUGUGCUGCACCUCCCGUUAUUGGACCGGGUGAUGUCUGAGUAACUACUAGGUGAUGUAAUGGAUUAGCAUGCCGACAUCAGUCCCUGGUCUGACAAGA